GACGAACCUUGCUAACGUUAUUCGGAAUCACUGGGCUUAAAGGGUGCGUAGGCGGCCAACUAAGUCGGACGUGAAAUCCCUCGGCUUAACCGGGGAACUGCGUCCGAUACUGGAUGGCUAGAGUGUGGGAGAGGGAUGCGGAAUUCCAGGUGUAGCGGUGAAAUGCGUAGAUAUCUGGAGGAACACCGGUGGCGAAGGCGGCAUCCUGGACCAAUUCUGACGCUGAGUGAGCGAAAGCCAGGGGAGCAAACGGG
rnacentral:rRNA from 1 species